UGGGAAGUGAUUAUAGAAAAAUAAAGAAGAAAGGAAUAAAAUAAGGUCAAUAAAUUAGGGCUCAAAACGUGGGAGCCACGUCCCAAUUCUUUGCAUUCUUCGACACUCCCAGUGGCCUAUUACGUGGAUUUCACCUAACGACAGUUUCAGAGAACAGUAGAGAAUCCAAUUCCCUUUCAGAUGCUUCUCUACAAUGGUGCGAUCCAAGUAAGCAAGAUCGGCUUUAAUGGCAGAUUGGGCAGCUGCCCAUUCCCCCCACGGGCAGUACUCUGUCAGUGGGUUGUCGGCGUUCAACAUCACCGGCUGAAAACGACGUAGCGUAGUGUUCGUAUUGGGGGCGUGCGGUAUUUCUGAAAGAAGCCGGCUCAUUGGCGUGUAUUGGGGACCAGCUGGAACAACGAAGAAGCUGAAAAGAAAAGCGUCUUAUCGGAAGGUAAGAGAAGCGUUAUGUUGUGGGCUCGUUGUGGAUGGUGAUUGAGCCUAUCGCUCUCCCAAGUUGACUAUUUUGAAUUUCUUUUUGUAAAAGAGAUCUUUCAUUGUCUUCUUGUCCACUUGAUGAGUAGAUUUGGUCUUUUGUGGAGGCAUGGAUGAGAAUGUGUUUAUCCCUUAAAAGAGUCAACAAGGGAAAAUAGGUAGGAAUUUUCCAAGUAGGGUAUGAGUUGAAAUUUAUACAAAAGCAAAAG